AAUAAUUUUUAUUUAUUUAUAAUUCAUAUACUAAUACAAGAAAGAGCACAACCGUCAACAGGCUGACGAUUGACUUUGGGACACUAUUUCCAACAAUCUCCCACUUGGCCUAAAGCCAAUCGGUGCAGUAUCUAAUACCCAUCUUCGACUUGAAGUCGUCGAACUCCUUCACCGCAAUGGCUUUAGUGAAUGGGUCGGCCAGGUUCUCCUUUCCAUCGAUCUUCUGAAGGUCGACGUCACCUCUAUCCAUGAUUUCUCGGAUG
rnacentral:lncRNA from 1 species